AUGCAUGACCUCAAGCAUGCAGCAGGUGCCUGGGUCGAUGAACUUCCAUCAGUACUUUCGGGAUUGAGGACAACUCCUAAUCGGUCGACUGGACGAACUCCAUUCUACUUAGUCUACGGAGCCGAAGCUGUACUCCCGAGUGAUUUGCUUCACAAUGCGCCCCGAGUCGAGCUCUUCUCAGAAGAAGAAGCGGAACAGGCUCGUCAAGAUGUAGUCGAUCUCCUGGAAGAAGAAACGGAGAUGGUCUUGAUUCGGACGACCAUUUAUCAACAAGACCUGUGUCGAUUCCACGCCAGAAACGUAAGGGGUCGGGCAUUUCAGGAGGGAGACUUGGUUCUUCGAGUGGACUAG
rnacentral:rRNA from 1 species